UAACGAUUCAUUUUAACGUUUUGUUUUUUUUUCUAUAGCAAAGUUAACGUCGAGUUAACGGAACCGUUAACUUAGAAAAAAAAAUCUAUUUUUUCUAACCCUAACGAUUACUGCUAAUGAUGAGGAUCCGAGAAGGAGAGGCGGCUAGAAAUAUUCUAAAAGAAACAAUCAAAACAGAACAACUAAUUAUUAAGAAUCCCCAUCCCUAUAAUCAUCAAAAUCGAUUCUCACUGCUUCAAUAAGGAAAUCGAUCCUCAAUCCUGUAAUCGUCAAAAUCGAUUCUAACUCCUUGAAUAAGGAAAUCAAUCUGUGAAGGAAAUAAUUUGUUCACCGACGAAGAAGCAAAGGAAGAUAUGGAUGGCUUCUCACUCAGGACACUGCCGAUUUGCUACCGAUUUCAAACGAGGUAUUUGAGCCAGACCCAUGAAUACGACUCAGACUGUGUUGUUUUUCGCUACGAAACAUUCAAUUUCAAAGAACCUAUGAUGAUCUCAAUAAAAAAUGUUUUCACGAUUUUUGUUAUAAAUAUAAUACGUAAGAUAUACUUCUGUUUUGCUUUGGUCUUCUUUAAAUUUUCAUGCAAAAUUGAUGCGGAGAAGAGGAACACAGUGAGACUAUGGUGGUGACACUAGAGAAGAAGGAUGAUAACACUGCACUCUGCAUAGAAACUCAAGGAACUCUUUUGGGUUGGAAAGAUAAGAAAAAUGAAGCCCUAAGAAAGUGAAUCAACCCCAUUUUUCAGGAACAAAGAGAAGGCGAUUGACAAAGUUCAAGAAGAAACUAAGAGUCGGUCAGCCAUCAGAUAGGAAACCACCUGGAGUAGGACGUGGCAGAGGA